rnacentral:rRNA from 1 species
GUAAUGGCUCACCAAGGCUACGAUCUCUAGCUGGUCUGAGAGACGAUCAGCCACACUGGGACUGAGACACGGCCCAGACUCCUACGGGAGGCUGCAGCAGGGAAUAUUGCGCAAUGAGCGAAAGCCUGACGCAGCGACACCGCGUGUGGGAUGACGGAUCUAGGUUUGUAAACCACUUUCAGGAGGGAAGAAAAUGACGGUACCUCCACAAGAAGCCCCGGC